GACGAACGCUGGCGGCGUGCUUAACACAUGCAAGUCGAACGCUGAAGCUCAGCUUUUGUUGGGUGGAUGAGUGGCGAACGGGUGAGUAACACGUGAGUAACCUGCCUCCUUCUUUGGGAUAACGCCCGGAAACGGGUGCUAAUACUGGAUAUUCACUGGUCUUCGCAUGGGGGUUGGUGGAAAGGGUUUUUCUGGUGGGGGAUGGGCUCGCAGCCUAUCAGCUUGUUGGUGGGGUGAUGGCCUACCAAGGCUUUGACGGGUAGCCGGCCUGAGAGGGUGACCGGUCACAUUGGGACUGAGAUACGGCCCAGACUCCUACGGGAGGCAGCAGUGGGGAAUAUUGCACAAUGGGCGCAAGCCUGAUGCAGCGACGCCGCGUGAGGGAUGGAGGCCUUCGGGUUGUGAACCUCUUUCGCUCAUGGUCAAGCCGCAACAAUGGUUGUGGUGAGGGUAGUGGGUAAAGAAGCGCCGGCUAACUACGUG
rnacentral:rRNA from 1 species